GAUGAACGCUAGCUACAGGCUUAACACAUGCAAGUCGAGGGGCAGCAUGAACAAAGCUUGCUUUGUUUGAUGGCGACCGGCGCGCGGGUGAGUAACACGUAUCCAACCUGCCCAUAACUCAGGGAUGGCCUUUCGAAAGAAAGAUUAAUACUUGAUAGUAUAUUUUAGUCGCAUGGUUUUAAUAUUAAAGAUUUAUUGGUUAUGGAUGGGGAUGCGUUCCAUUAGGUAGUAGGUGAGGUAACGGCUCACCUAGCCAUCGAUGGAUAGGGGUUCUGAAAGGAAGGUCCCCCACAUUGGAAAUGAGACACGGCCCAGACUCCUACGGGAGGCAGCAGUGAGGAAUAUUGGUCAAUGGACGAGAGUCUGAACCAGCCAAGUAGCGUGCAGGAUGACGGCCCUCUGGGUUGUAAACUGCUUUUAGUUGGGAAUAAAAAGAGGGACGUGUCCCUAAUUGUAUGUACCAUCAGAAAAAGGACCGGCUAAUUCCGUGCCAGCAGCCGCCGUAACAC
rnacentral:rRNA from 1 species